GCAAAUUGUCGGAAAUUGCUGUAGUAUAAAGUACUUUCUAGAGAGAAAUUUACUAAUAUAUUGUAUUUCUAACCGAAUAUUAAUAAAAAUACUUAUCAAUAGCUAUAAUACGUCUAGCCAAUCUGUCCAGACGACACCACAAAAAUUUAUUUAUUUUUUCUCAGAGAAGAUAAAAGGCACAUUCAAAAUCCAGCUACUACAGAGUCCAAUAAUUGGAGGACUGCACAUUAUAAAACCGCUGCGACCAACAUACACAUACC
rnacentral:lncRNA from 1 species